rnacentral:lncRNA from 11 species
CUGGUAAACUGGCGGGGAUUUCUGGAAAUUGUAAGUCAAAACACCUGGGGACCUACAGGUUGAGAACCACUGGUAUAGGGAAUCCUCCAGAGAAAAUAGCCAUUGUGGCCUAAAUUCACUUCCAAUUGUUUAACUCUAAUGAAUCAAUGGGAGCUUGCCAAAUCAACCGUUGUUGGAAUUAAAUAGGAAUUAGGUUUGUGAUUGCGGGAUUUCUGGAAUUUCCAUCUCUAUAUUCUUUUUUGGUUCUAAUACUGUUAUGAGAAAACAUAAAUCUUCCCUUGUUUACAUAUAGAUUUGAAUUUGUGUAAGGGCUGAUCCUAUGAUUAGACAUGAUGACGUAACUUCUUCAGCUUUUAAAGUGUUGGACUUCUGCAAUGGAAAGCAUUUGGAAGGAAUAAGCCCCAGUAUCCUCAAAGUGGUGUCUAGAGAAGAUGCUCGGGUUUACUCCAGAACACCCAGGAUCCCAGUAAGCCUAAAAAAAUUUCUAAAAAAAUUUUUCCCAUUUUUUUUUAAUGGAGUGGGUGGGAACUACACUUGCUUGUGGAAUAAGAAUGAAAAUGGAUAAUACUGGUAAACCGGCAACAUAAGACUAGCAUGUGAU